rnacentral:rRNA from 1 species
GAUGAACGCUGGCGGCGUGCCUAACACAUGCAAGUCGAGCGAGAAGCCAUAAAAGGACACUUCGGUAGAAUUAUAUGGCGGAAAGCGGCGGACGGGUGAGUAACGCGUGGGAAACCUGCCUUUCACAGAGGGAUAGCCGAAGGAAACUACGAUUAAUACCUCAUAAAGCAAAAGCUUCGCAUGGAGCGAUUGCCAAAGAAUAAUCGGUGAAAGAUGGUCCCGCGUCUGAUUAGUUAGUUGGUAAGGUAGCGGCUUACCAAGGCGACGAUCAGUAGCCGGCCUGAGAGGGUGAACGGCCACAUUGGAACUGAGACACGGUCCAGACUCCUACGGGAGGCAGCAGUGGGGGAUAUUGCACAAUGGGCGAAAGCCUGAUGCAGCAACGCCGCGUGAAGGAAGAAGGCUUUUCGAGUCGUAAACUUUCUGUCCAAA